CCUAUGGAGAGUACAAGAACUUGUGAGUAGUAUAUGAAGAAUUUCAAUAUGAAAGCAUACUCGACGAAGUAGGAA
rnacentral:sRNA from 12 species